UAGGCCGGCCUGGGCGUCCUCUUGGUCAAGCUCCACAGAUAAGCAGGGCACUACGAAACGUCUCUGCUGAGGAGGAGAAGAGCUGCUGCUGGCAGCAAGGGCACAGAGGAGAGGCCCAGGAACCCUCGGACAGGCACUCGAGACGUGCUGUCCUCUCCAGGCUCGCUCCAGAGCGCUCCAGUGAUCCCCGACAUUGCCUUCCAUGAAACAGAUGCUUAAAAUCACUCAUACACACCGGCGUGUUUGAAGAGCUUUCACUUGCCCUUCCCCGCAAACUGGGCCAAACCUAAAAAAGGCCAACUUGGGGUCAUGAAAUCAAUUGAGCAGACCACAAGCGUAAUUUGAACUUGACACAGAACAGAAUGAAAUAGAGAAUAUCGCAGUGUGUCGCACACGGCAAAGGGAGGCAGCCUGUUCACAGUAAUCCUGCAGGGAAGGAGCUGGAGGGAUGAACAUCUCAGCCUCACUGUCCUCUCUGUUUCUCAUCUCCUGCCAACGAACACACUGGCCUACCAGGCCCAGGGUGCCAUGACGCAGUCCACAUGGGAAAGCAGGGUGAUGGGGGCGGAGAGUGAAUAUGGAGUUCAGCCAGAGCAUGACCCGUGCAAACAAAAUCUCUGCCCUCCAGGAACUUAUAUUCCAUGGAUGGCCAGUUGGAGUUGAGCUUCUGUCCCGGCUCAACAUGCAAAGAAAACCACCUGUGCAAAAGUGUGGAGGGGAGAAAGCGGAUGGCAUAUUGAGGGACCGGCUGGGUUUGUGGUCUGGUGCUGGCGAAGUGGGCAGAAAUUGGAUAAGGCUCUAACAGUGGGCUUGGGUCAGAUGCCGAAUGUAUGAGCAUUCAUGAAGGGGGUUAAGCAGGAAGUGACACGAACAGAUGUGCAUUUUAGAAAGCUCACACUGAGAGCCAUGUAGAGGACAGGUGGAGGUGAGCAGGCCUGGGAGGAAGGGGGCUACGGCAGAGCCUGGGGCGACCUGGUGGGCGUGCAGAGCUCAGCUGGGGACACGCGGGAAGGAGGGCAAUGCUGGGAUGCAGGAGGGA